AAUAGAAUUUCAGGAAGGAUGAAUGAAUCAAAAGACGAAUGAAUGCUCACAUCCACAUGUCAGCUGGUAGGUGAAACGAUUCCUAUUGCAGUGGUCAUUUCAGUCAUCUUUUCCUCACCACUGCUGGUUAGGUUUAUUAGUUUGCUAUUGGCUUCUUCUUUCUCCCUCUACUAACUCCACAUGGAGGUCUCAUUGACUCUUACAUAAAGGUUGAGAACUGAAUCCACAGAGCAACUACCUCAUCAUAUUCACAGGUUCUGCCCAACAUCUGGAGAUAUUCUGAUUAACCCCUUGACUUGUUUUAUCUUUUAUUAUCUUCAGUCUCACUUCCUUUACCUGUAUUCAGACUUUUUGCAAGGCACUCACAUUUCUCUUCCUUCUUCCUUUAGAGUCUCUUCCAUUUGUAAAAGCUACUUGAACUCUCCCCUUACAAACACUAACCUUUUUUCAUUUCCAGCUCUUAAUACGAAAAUUUUAUCUAGUAACAGACUUCAGCUGUAAAUUGUCUAUGGAUCAAAACUAUCUUGCAAGAUCAAAAGUUUAUAUUUCUUUUUUUAUUGUCCUAAAGGAAAAGCCAAGCACCUAUUUAUUCUGUAAUUUUUUCGAAGUCAGUGCAUGUUAAUAGUGCACAUACCAUUUUGUUCUGUACCAGACAAUGACUUAAGCAUGGUAUUCCUAUUCAAUAUAUGAAAAUGGGAAGUAUCAUGAAAGAGUAGCAACUGUUAUAUUUUCCUUCAUUCUCAACAAUAUGUAUGGCUUUUAUAUAAACUCUGGCACAUGUAGAUUUUCCUCUUUCUGGAAAAUGUAAAAAUGUACACUUCCUUCAUAAAUUACAUGCUCUGUUGGAACACCUGAGUAUAGAAACAAACUGUAAUCAACAACAAGGUGAUUUUUCACUUCUUUUUACUUAGACGUAGUAUUGGUUUUCUUAGGCUGCCAUAAAAAAUUCCACAGACUGGAUGGCUUAAAAAAACAGAAACUUAUUUCUCACAAUUCUGGCAGCUAGAAGUCCGAGAUCAAGGUGCCCACGGGGUUGGUUUCUUCUGAAUCUCUUUCCUUGGCUGCAGUUGGACUUCUCCCUGUGUCUUCACAUGAUCUUCCCUCUGUGUAUUUCUGUGUGCUAAUCUCUCUUUGUGAGGACGCUAGUCAUAUUGGACUGCGGCCCACUCUAAUGACCUCAUUUAACUGAAUUAAUCUCUUUAAAGUUCACAUCUCCAAAUACUGUCACAUUCUGAGAUACUGGGAAUUAGGACUUCAACAUAUGAAUUUUGGGGAAACGGGACACAAUUCAGCCCCUAACAUUCAUGAUCGAACUAACUGCUUUGUGCAUGCGUGUCUAAGGAGAAGACAGGAAUGCAGAAUGGCAGAGUAAGAGAAGUAAUUCUGCGAUGAACAAAUGUUACUUCGGGGCCUCUAUUUUAUAGCUCCUGCAGGAUACGUGUCACCGUGUAAUUGUGAGGGAUAAUUUUCGUGGUAGAUUGUAAUGACAGACCAUUCAGAGAAACAUGUUGAAUAUUUUCCUGGAUUGAAAGAAAGAGGCACAAAAGAAACCAUUUCCCAGCAUUUUAUUUGAUUCCAUGAGAAUUCUGAGCAGCCAAUUGUACUCAGCUACAUAGGAAGUCAGAUCCAAUGGGAAUCUUUCUGGUUUAUGCGUGUACUACUUUCAGAAUAAGACAGUAAGUCACCUGUUAUACAAUAAUAUGUAAACAUGCAUUUUUAAUGAAUUUGGUCUUUCAGUGUAUAUGCACCCAUCAAACCUAAUAGUUGAACCUCUCUGUAACCAUCUUCACCAUUUCCUAUCUGAGAAAAUGACAUUGUAUUAUAAAAUUACAAUUUUUAUAGCUUAGAUCUCUAGUUUCUAAUAUAAGAAAACAAACCUACCACUUUUGGGUGCAGGAAUAGAAACAAAGGAAACUUUGCGAAAGCAGAAGAAACAACUUUCUGAAACAAUCCCUUGACAUACUUUUACAGUAUAUUAGAAACAUUUAUUUUUUGGUCAGCUUCUGACUACAGUGUGAACCAACCAGUUAUAUUUAAAAAAAAAAAUGUCUUAUUGGCUACUUGCCCUAAAUGAGGAGACAUCCUUCUACCCCGAAUUAACAGCUGAAACUAAAAUCCCUAAAUGAAAAGAUGUUGUCUUCUCUCACCAUUGUUGUCCAUAAUUAGGACUUUGGUCGGGAGUAAGAAUAACUUGUUUAUAGUCCAUGUUAUCACACUCCUCUCAGCUUCUCGCUCUCUUCCACAUGUGGAAUGACUUCCUGAUCCGUUCUCCGCACAUGUGUAAUGUUUGGCUCCAGUCUUGAGUGCAAUAGCUCUAAGUUAUCAGAUCUUUUCUUCCUGCUACAUCAGAUAAUUUUGAUUAUUACUUAAAGUGUGCUUCUCCUGACUUUGGUUUCCUUUGCAAUUUAGACCAUGAAUGGGCAAAUUUUAAUCUUUUACAACUCAGGAUAUUAUUUUCACACUCAGCCUAAUAGCUAAAUAAGCUUAGAAAUUUAGGAAAAGUAAAUUGGACCACUUGGUAUUUUUUCAUAUAAGGAAAACAAACUCUCUGUGUAUUAGGGAUUGCUUCUGGAGGAACAUCCAGAGCAUUAGGCAGUCAGUACUAACUCUCAGAAUGAUAUGAGUCUCUCUGGUCAUGUGAUACAGCUUUCUAUCUUGGUGUGGUCAAAGAGGUUUGGUUUGGGUUGAGUGGGUACCAUCUUAGUUCUCCAGGUGCUCCAGGUGCAUGGUAGGGGCCAUGUUAUUGCUACACAUAAGGGUUAUUUUAAUGUUAGUUUGAAUACGUCAGAAGAAUUAGGUUAGAAUUCCACACAAAUGUACGAAUCUUUGUUACCUUCAUAUUUCACUUCUCCUCCGUGAUACAAAAUAUUACUCUUCUUUAAAUAGGGCAUAAAAUGAUUCCAAGUUACCAGAUCCAAAUGCUGAACAAACAGUUCAUAUUUACCAAGAGGAAUAGGGUUAAAUUUUGUUCUCCACUGACAAAUCCCAGCCCAGAACAGAUUUUAGCCAGGCAGCUAGCAGAGCUCGCUGGGUGAACUGCACGGGCCACGGUGGGUGCAGAGCUCAGAGCCGGAAAGCAAACAGCUGCUCUAGCCUGAUUUGAGUUAAAAUAGUGUGAGUGUUUAGUCUGGCGCACAGCUUCAGGGGAGAUUGGCAGCUGGGUCAAACAAAGUCCUUCCAUUGGCUCUCUUCCCAGGCAGCUUCUGCUAGUAUUUAGGUACUAGUGCAGUGUAGGGCCCUUUCUCAGGCAAAACCUAACAUCUGACCGCACCCUCUUUGCUUUUUCCAAAAAAAAAAAAAAAAAAAAAAAAAGAAAGAAAAGAAAAGAAAAAAAGAAAAAAGCUUCUUUUCCCUUCUUUCGUUAAGAUAAAUUCUCCAGUAGACAACCUCUCCCGCUAAUUGUGUAUUAGCAAUGUAUUUUAUCUUGCUAGCUGACGCACUGGGCUCUCAACGUGGUGUGGAAGGCAGCCUGUUACAGUGCUGGAUUCAUAAAAGGGCCUUUAUGGUUUGUGAAAGAAUAUCUGUGUGCUUAGGCAGGAAACUUUUUGAUCUGCAGAAAAGCCAGAAGACAUCUAGGGUAUCCUGGAAGAUUAAUCAGAGAACCUUUCAAGCACUUAUAAAGAAGUUUUAGGUUCACAGCAAAAUAGAGAGGAAGGAAGAUAUGGAGAUUUCCCACAUGCUCCCAGUUCCCACGCAUGCAUGGCCUUCCCCAUCACCAACAUCCCCCAUGAGAGGGGGAAAAACUUAAAAUGGAUAUGAGAAGUGAAGAAAGUGAUCAUAGGAGAGGAAAUCAUCUCAGGGAUUACAAAUCAUAAAGAGGAUGGAAACUUGGUCUCACUAGUGACACAUCUUGGUUGCCAUUGAGGAAAGAUUCUGCUUGAGAAAGAAACCCAUGUGAAAUUCAUCAAUUCAUAAAUACAACUUAUCAACUCAAAAAAGUCCUUCAGCAGGGCAUGGGAAAGAUCUGGAGAAGUUUCCUCGUCUUCAAGAGGCAUCAAGGAGACAGCUAAAUACAGAUGGAGAAUGCUGUGGAGUUCCUGAAACCCACAACAACUGUGAGGACCAAGGAAAGUGGUUUAAUCAGCAAGCUGGGCUUGCUGAGAGCAGCGUUACACAGCCUCACGGCCGAGGGAAGAAUUUCAUGAAUUUUCCAAAGGUAAAAGACCAACACCCAAGGAGACAUUUCAGCAUUGGUUAGUGAGGACCAGAAAAAACAGUGGGUAACCUUAGACAGGAGAAAGUAGAAAUCAGAGAUGAGAAAUGCCACCUUUGUUAUAUACUAAGUGCUCAUAUAUUCUGGGAUAUUCUAGUCCCUUUUAAAAUGGCAGAUUCAAAAGUGAUAACCAUAUUUCUAGCCUUUCUUUUCCUUUACCUUUCUAGGGGGUGAAUUAAGAACCUUUGGAAAUUGGAAACCUUUUCAUGUAGUUUACUCAAGGGUUAGCAUAGGGUGUAGUCUUUUUCAAGUUUCUUUCAAGACUUUGCUUUUUGUUAUUUUGUCUUGGUCCUUGUCAGACAGGCCCGUUUAUUAAUUCACUCAAUCAGCAAUCACAUUGAGUACCUUCCGUAUGGCAAGCAGAUUAUUCUAAUCUAGAAACUUAGUUUUAUAGUGUAAAUUUAGUUUCAGCUGCAGUUUAUUUUAUUGUAUUUGUUUAAUGUUAAUUGAACAUAUCGAUACCUUUAUACAGGAUGGAGUACAUGCUUCACAAAAUUCUUACUGACGGACACUAAGGUUACAAUUAGAAAGAAACAAAAGUGCAUGCAAACACAACUACUCACAACAGCAUGGGAAAUACUGAUGAUGCUAAAGAAAAUCUCCAAUGGAAUAGUUGAGAAUGUGCUGUAUAAAGUCAUGGUACAUCUCUUCAAAAAUCAUUGACUGAAAAAAUGUCAUGAGAAAAGCAGCAUUAUUUCUUUGUUAGUGCUUCCAAUAUCUCUCCUGGCAAUUCAGGUGGAACAGAGAAUCCAGUGAAAUCUGGUGCUUUGCAUCAUUAUCAAGCUCAUAUCUGCCAGCUGAUCAUGUGUGAUACAGCAAAAAUGUAAAAGCAUUUGAAUCAAUAGCUCUUUCAGAUGCUCUUCUGAUAAAACUGCUUCAUUUUCUUUUCUAACUAAUUAAUUCAUGUAAGUGGAGAGAUUAACAGAAAAACUUAUUCAUAUUAUGAGUAACAGGAUCCAAACAGUUUAUUGAACUGUAUUGUUGGCAUCUUUGCAACCAGUAAGACUCUUUAAUAAUCAGAUCUCAGAAACAUCCGUCUUAGAAAGGAGUAUACAUUCUGGCUUCCACUUACUUGAGAAGGAAUUAACCUAGGGUCAGGAGCAGAGGUUAGGUUACUUCUACCUGGAAAUUAAUCAGAAAAUUCAUUUUGCCCUUUGAUGUUGCUUUUCUGCCCACCCACCCCACGCCUACCUUCACCUUUUAUCUUCGUAAGAUCCUAAAGCUCCCUUUCACGCACUAUGGUAGUUGAAAGGAAUUUAAAGUUGUGGAUUUCUAUAUUUAUGUAAUUAUAUACUGAAAAUAUAAUAGGGUAGGGGAAAAUGUUUUUAGGAGAUGUGACACCUUAAAGAAAAUUCACCGACAUCAAAAGUGACUCUAAUAUAUUGGCAAAUUUCAGGCUACAUUUCUAGUCAUAUUUCUGCUAGAAGAAACCUACUUUCCAUUUUGUGUUUUCUCAUUUGCAUGACUGCAAAGCUAUUCAUGCAUAUGAAAAGGAUAUUAUUCAUCUCCAUACUCCUUCCUCUCCAUAUUCCAAACCCAAUGUGUUGAUGGGUUAUGCAUAAGGAAACACUGCUGUAUCUAUAUAUUUAUGCAUAUAUACCUAUGUGAUUCAAAUUCGGUAUCACAACGGGAUAGCAAGCCCAAGUGAUAACAUUAUGUACUAGAUGUGUCAUAUUACAUCAUUAAUAGCACAUCAAAAUUGUCAAAUAUGUUGGAAUCCAGUAAUUGCAAGUGACAAGCUUUAGCGUGAUUUGUCUCCAUUGGGAAGGAUUGAAAAAGUGAGAGAAAGGAGUAUACUUCUGAAUUUCCCCUCUAAGUGCAUAUGGUAGGUUCUUAUUACUUCUGCAAAUAUUUUUAGUGAGAUGCUGUUUUCACAGUAUUCAUGGUAACUAGCUAGUGCAGUUUUCAUGUGCUUGCACCUUAUCAUCUCCCAAGUUCAGAAACCCAGUGCUGUUCCAGAAAGAACUACAAAGUUGAACUGGCAGGAAGAAAAAUGACCAAACUGGCAGGGCUUAUCUCCCUCUAAUGUGUGAUUCUUCUUAACUCAAUAUUCCGGGAAAUUAUUCACUUGAAAGUUUAGACGGAGUUCACAAAGAAAAAUGAUUUCUCUUCUACUCUCCGGUUCUACUCCUACUCCUCCUCCUCAGAAAAGCUAAUAGUAUUGCUUCAUUCCCAAAAGUUUUCUCUUAAAAAUGUCUCAGCAUUUGGCAAUAAGAGGAAAAUAGGAUGACAGUGAAUUUCAUGGGCACAGAACUCAUUCAUUACAAUGAUGAGGUAUUCAAGAAUCCCCACCCUUUGUGUCCUGCUUUAUCUGUAUUUGGGGAUGGCAUGGAUGAGGAGAAAAAGGAAGCUUAUGUGUUUUCUUUAAAAUUAAUUCCCAGCUUUAUGAGUGAAUUAUUGUAAGCCCCGAGGACAUUAUAACUGCGUUCUCCUUUUCAGUAAUUGUGGCAGAUAUUAAAGUGCACAGACAAAGGUAGUCAUGUGUAGAAUAACCUGUUUUUUUAGACAGACCCACUUGUCCGAGAUCAAACGGCUGCAGCAUGUUUAGGGUUACAGUCUCCUCCCUUCCUCCUCAUUCUCAACCGCAGUGGAGCUUUUUCCAGCGUUGCCAUGGUAACACUAUAUCUGGCUGCUAGCUCUGUCGUAAGUUAUUGAACUGAGACUGGCUUUUGGUUUAGCAGAUAAUUAGGUUCUGUCUCACAGGUUCAUUUUCCUGUGACUGGGACGUGAAUAUGACCUACAGCUGGCCUCAAUUUCAGUGUCACAGGCAAAACUUUAACCCUUCCCAAGCUCCCAAGGCUCUGAAGCCUUGCUUGUGAAGGGGAGGAAGUCCGGUGCAGCCCACCCACACCUAGGAGAGGAUCACCAAGUCCCCAUUUUAUUUUUUAUCUUCAUCAUAACACUAAGGAAAAUAUGAUCAAGAUUGUACACUUAGAGCAUUUUAAAAAUUAAAAAUAUAUCAGCAAUAUAGUACAUGUACUAUGUGCAUUUUAUAUAUAACAUGUAAUGUACAAAGCAUUCCCUAGUCAUUAUCUUUCCCCUACUUCUUAAAUGACUUUUUAAGUCACGUCAAAGUACCUUGUGCUGCAGUUUGGAGUCCACAAUACUUAGGUUUCAAAAACCCCAUUCUCAGGAAUAUUAGCUUAUUCUUAGCUUAUUCUCAGCUUCCAGAACUGCCUGUUGGUUGAUUCAUGCCCCUCCUUCUCCUGUUUAUAAACCCUAGAUUUUUGCUGACAUUGAAAGGUGCCUUUGGAGUCACAGACAGGUCCGUGCUAUGGGGAACAACGCCACCACUCUGCUAAUAUGCCCGAAUGUUCACUCAGGGCUUGAAUCUUGCUGGUUUGGAAAGCAAGCAAGAUAUGUCCUUUGUUUUGGACAAAGAAAUAAGCGUAACUUUUAGAACAGAUACUGAAUUCACAAUACUCACGGCAACAUGGGGACCUGCGUGUUUAAUAGGAGAGAGUGUGUCUUUCUAUGUCAAACAAUAGGAGAGACCCUCAAGGAAAUCUGUCUGAAAAAUUUAGUGCAUUAUCCUCAAAAUGCAAGAAAGGAAGAAGAGAGAGUUGAGACCACCAUGAUUAAAACAUGAAUUAAAGAAAUUCUAUUGCUUAAUUGGCUGGAGAAUCACACAACUAUGUCAGUAGAGAUAGGAAAGACUUGGAAGACUCAACAGCUGGAUAUUCGAACCAGGAUACAUCUGUGUGUGUAUGUGUGUGUGUACCACAUAGACUAUAUUCUGUUUUAAUCCAUUCCUUCCAUUUUCAGACUCCCAGUGAGAAGGGCAUUCUGAAUGGUAGCAGCCUCAGAUGUCCUGAGGAAGAGCAGCUUUGGGUCCAAAAGGGUCCCAUGAACGCAGAGAACUUAGCGUAGGGGGUUGAGGUCAGAGGAAUUUGUAUGAAGUAGUAGAGACAGAGCUGAUAUGUGAGAAACUCAGUUGUUGGCAGUUAUUUUCCACUAAACUGAGUUUCUUUUAACUUUUAAUGUCAGUACAUAGCACUUCUUUUCUUACUAAUAAACAAUAAAUGUUUGCUGAAUGAAUGCAUGAAUUCUUCCUCACUCUCUAUUCUAUGUAGUAAGAAUUAAAUGAGCACUCAGUUAUAAAAAGGUCUUGGAGUGUCUACAAGCAUUUUUCAAUCCAAAGUCCUUUAACUGUCUUCUCAGUUUCCCAUAACCCUAAGCCCUACACAAGCAGGUCAUGUCUUGCCUGUGUUAUGGCAACAGCCUUGUCACUGAUCUUCUUCCCUCUUAUUACCUACUGUAAUCUCUAUUAUACCUGGGAGAUGGGGCGUUAAUUUAAAAUGCUUAUCACUUGAAGUCAGCAUCCUCCUCACAGCUUCCCAGUGGUUUUCCGUGUAGUAUGACUCGCAAACACAAUCCUUACUGUGCUUACAAGGCCUGCCUACCUUGCUGACAUCAUCACUCCCCUCUUUUUACCCUUCUUGUGAACACAUGCCCACUGGUGAGCCUUAUCCUUUACUGGUCCCUCUGCCAGGAACACAUGACUUAUUCCUUCACUUUAUUCUGGUCUCUACUCAAAUGUCACCUUCUUAAAGAUGCUUUCCUUAAACAUCUUAAAAAGCACAUCAUUCAUUGUCCAACACUUCUCUUGCUUUAAGUUUUCUUCAUAGUGCUUAUCAGUUCUUGAUAGGCUAUUAGACAACAAGCAAAUAUGAAUAUACCUUUCCCACUAAAAUACAAGUUCCUUAUGGGAAGGAGCUUUGGUUAUUCAUGAGUAGACUCUAGUGCCUAGAACCUAGUAGGCUGGACUAUAGUAGCCUUCAAUAAAUAUUUGUUGAAUAAGUAGGUGAAUGAAUGAAGACAUCCAAGUAGAGGGUCUGGAUAUCCCAACCUAUAUAUAUAUUGAGGUUGAGUAUCUCAAUAUACACACACACACACACACACACACACACACACAUAUUGGAAUAUAUAUACAUUUUGUGACCAAGAAUGAGUGGUCCCAACAUAAUGAAUGAAAUACCCUGCAUGAUGAAAUUGUAUGAGUCAUGAAAUAAAAUUUAGGGACAUAGCUUAUUUCUUUAACUUGCUUCACUAGAUUGAGGUAAAACAAGGAAAUGAAGCUUAUUUCUACCUCAUCCUUGCAUGGAUUAAAUUCAAAAUAAAGCAUCAUCCAUAUACCACACAUUUCAACCUUAGUCACUCAUGGAAGAGUCUUUCUGUAAAGGACCAGAUAGUAAAUAGCUUUGCUUCUGGGGUCAUAUAGGCUGUGUCACAACUUCUGUGAACGUCUGUCGAGAUGUGAAAGCAGCCACGGGCAACACAGAAACUGGGCUUGGCUGUGCUCCAGUAACACGUUACUUAUUAAAAUAGGGACUCAGCCACGUUCAGCACACAGACCAUAGUGUGCUGACCUCUGUUGUAGUGUCUUUUCCCAGUUCCUCCUCCCACCAAGAUAUUGAGAGAAUGCCCAAAGGACCAUGGCUCUCUCACCUGGUUCUUUCAAGAAAUGAAACAAAUUGGGGAACGGCUGGUGGGUGGAACACUACUGAGGGUUUUUUUUUUCCUUUUUCUCCUUCUUUGUUUAAUUAUUAGUCAUUUCCUAACUUUAAACUGCCACCUCAGUAGCAAUAACAAUGGUGUAUUGGUAAAUGUCUAACAACUGACUCUCUGGGGAAGAAAAAAAAAGAUGUUUACGAAUUUCUGUAGUGUAAAUUCUCCCAUCAUGGCCAUUUUAAACUACCACUACGAUGUCACUUAACCUUGAUGUUGGGGAAAGAUGCGCUUAAUAGUCUCAUGAAUCAGUGUGAGCUGGCUCCACCCCACAGCAGGAUACAUACUUAAAAGCUUCAGUAACUUUGCUCACUGUCACUGCAAAGCCUGUAGGAUGGUGGUGGUCUUGAUGGGAGCAACUGGUUGGAUGAUCUCUUGGAAUGCCAAUAAAUGAUGAAAAAGUAUGCAGAUAAAAUGUUGUAUGUAAAGCCCUUAGCUCUGUGUUUGGUUAAAAUACAUACUCAGUAAAUGGUGGCUAUUAUCCUCUUACUUUAAGUUAUUAUCAGCUUUAAGAUUAAAUGCUUAGCUACUGGCUCAAUCCCAUUUUAAUGCCUUUGUGUUAAUAAGGCCUCUUAACAUGGACGCAACAAAGGUAAAGGAAUUUUGUGUAGCUAUUCAUGCUUCUGCCCAGCUCAAGGUUAAGAUAGCAACAAAAUACUCCAACCAGAAUAAAAGAAGUCUCCACUUGACUUCAGCUCUUCAUAACACUUCACAAGGGUCAAGCUGUGUUAUUUUCCUUCAGUGUUAAAUAGAAAGCAUCUUAGGAGCAGAGUUCAAUUAUUGAUUGAAUAGUGAGUUCAAUUUGACUGUAAUUCUGACAAAUACACUUCAAUGAGUUCAAGACCAGGGAUGGACCAACAAAAGGGUAAAGGUUUCACUCAUGUUUGAGGCAAAUGCUCAGACUGAAUUAGUGACACGGAUGUCUUACGUUGUUUGGCUACUAAAAAUACAGUUCAGCACCAGUAAAACAAUACUAGUAGAAUAACAGGGAGAAUAUUGACAGUGGUUUGAGUGACCAGACACCAAAACGGACAUCAAUCUGAAAGAAAUUAGUAAAAUAAUAAUAAUAAUAAUAAUAAUAAUAAUAAUAAUAAUAAUAAUAAUAAUAAUAAUAAAUAGAGACCCUGAAAGAGAUUAAUAAACAGCUUAGGUUUAAUCAAUCAAUAUUCAGAAGAAAAGGCUAAUAAAUGCUGUUUUAAACACUAUAAGAGUGUUUUUUUUUUAACUAUUUACCCUCUAGUGUCUUCUGCUCAUUUUCUUUAUAAAGAUUUCCGUACUUUUAUAAAAGAUGUGAUUUAGUGUUUGAUCAGUGAAAUAAGGUAAGAAAGAGAAGCUAAUCUUAGUCUUUUCUUCUAGGCUUCUGUUAGCACAUAAUUUAAAUAUAUUGGUUUUGUGGUGGUUAUGCUGGUCUGCUUCUGGACAACCCUUUGUUCUAGAAGCCUUCUUUUUAAACCAUGGAAUACCUCAGAUCAAAACCUGGUCAGAAGUCCCUUCAGUUCCCAAACAGUACUAAAUGACUUGAGUUUUCUGUUUCAAUAAACUUCUGUAUGUAUCUUUUGCUACAUUUUCUUUUGGUUUUCUGCUCAUAUUAAUAAUAUUAAUGAAAAUAUAUUUUAGGUAAUCAGCUUUCUUUUAAACAUUGUAUGUUAUGGAAAAUUUUGAAGACACACAAAUUUGAGAGAAUAGGUAAAGACCUUCUAAAUGCCUAUCACCCAUAGAGGUUAAAUUAUUCAACUGCUUAUUAGAGGGGAGGGGGAAAAUUGACAUCUUUUUUCCCAGUAACAUUGAGAUAUAUUUGACGUAUAACAUUGUGUAAUAUAUUGUGAAAUGAUUUUCACAAGAAGGUUAGUUAACAAAUCCAUCCCCUCACAUAAUUGUAUAGUUUGCCUCUUUUCUUUUCUUUUUUUUUUUUUUUUUUAGUAGGGAGAACAUUUAAGAUCUACUCUCUUAGCAAAUCUCAGGUGUGCAAUAUAGUAUUCUCAACUACAGUCACCAUGAUGUAUGUUAGAACCUCAGAACUUUUUCAUUUUGUAACUGGCAAUUUGUACCCUUUGAUCAUCACUCAUUUCUCCCACUCCCCAGCUUCUGGCAGCUGUCAGCCUACAAUUUGUUUCUAUGAGUUUGUGUUUUUUAGAUCCCACAUAUAAGUGAGAUCAUGUAUGAUUUGUCUUUAUCUGGCUUAUUUCAUUUGGCAUAAUGCCUUCAAGAUUAACCCAUGUUGUCACAAAUGACAAGAUUCACUUAUUUUUUAUGGCUGAACAAUAUUCCACUUUAUUAUAUAUAUAUGCUUUAUAUGUAUAUAUUGUAUAUAUAUGUGGUGUGUAUAUAUAUACACACACACACACACAUCACAUUCUUUUAUCCAUUCAUUCACUGAUGGAUACUUAAGUGGUUUCCGUGUUUUGGCUAUAUGUAAACAAUGCUGCAAUGAACAUGGGGGUGCAUUAUCUCUUGAGAUAGUGAUUUCCCUUUCUUCAGAUACAUACUCAAUUAUUCAACUUUUAUCAAUGUAUGGCCGAUCUGGUUUCAUCUAUACCCACCAUUGAGUCAUUUCUAACUUCCUGGAUUACUCUGAAGCAAGCUCAUGUAUCAUAUAAUAUGCUUACAUCUACAAAUAUUUCACUACAUAUCUGUAAAAGUAGAGCACUGUUUUGUUAAAGCACAAUGGGACUAUUUCCCUACAAGUAUUUACAGUAGUUCCCUAAUAUCAUCAAAUAUCCCAUAAGUGUACAAAUUUUCCUGGUAUCUCAUGAUUCUUGAAAAGUUAAUUUGUUUGAAUGGGGGUGCAAACACGGGUCACACAUAACAUUUGGUUGACAUACGUCUAAAGCCCCUUUCAAUAUGUAGGUUCCUCUUCUUUUAGUUCUUUGCAGCUUAUUUGUUGAUGAAACAGAGUCAGUUGCCCUUUAAUGUCUUUCUCCUGCUGGAUUUUGCUGAUUGCAUCCCUGAAGUAUCAUUAGUCUUGUUCUUCUCUACUUGUAUGUCCUGUAAACUGAGACCUUCACAUUCAGGUUCUCUUCCUUUUUUUGUUUUAGCAAGAUUCAUUCAUGAAUGGUACUGUAUACAUCCCAGCAGGAAUCACACAGAAAGCUUGUCUUUAUCUUGGCUAAGUGGGAGGAGGUUUUUGAUUUUUAUAAUGAUAUAAUUAUGGUUGCAUCAUCCAGGAAUCAAAUAUUUCAGACUCACGUGUUAGAAUUCAACACAUGAUUUAGAAUUUAAUGUUAUAUCGUUAUUUCAUGAUAUUUCAAAAAGAGCACCUUAAUCUUCAGGGAUUCCACCAAGGGAGCCAGUUUGCACCAUUAUCCUCGUAAAUAUCUAACUAUGGAUUAUUCCACUCAUAAGUCUGAAAUUAGAUUAAAUUAUGGAGAAAUUCCAAAGGAAGUAGCCUUGAACAAACACAAGGUACAUAUGGAGACCUUCUUCAAUCGAAAAUAAUCCAAAAUAAUCCUGAUUCAUUCUCAGAAAAGAGCGAGGAAUUGCAUUAGACCCAGACUUUUGUAGUGACCCUUAACUUUAUAAAAACUUAGAGAGGACCAAUAUGGACUUAUUUACAGGGGCAAUUCAAAGCAUCAGCGUUGUCUUGUGGUGAGUUGUAUGAACCAUUCCAUCCAAAAAGAUGAUGUGACUUUGUCACUCCCCUGGGAUGCAGAGUUGAGAUAAAAAUGUAAAGACAUGAUAUGAAAUGUCAAAUGUCUCUUAAAAAUAGAAGUAUGUGUGUAUUCUUGGGAAUGGAAUAAAAGCAUGUGAUUGUGUAUGAAUUUUCAGAAACUUAACGGCUUUUUAAAUAGCCAUCUCUCUGGUUACCUUUCUGAGUCCUCUUAUUAAAAAAACUGGAAAAUCAGAGGAGGGUUAAUUCAUAGCUCAUUAUUGACUGCACUUUAAUCUCAUAUCAUUUGCUGGAUGUGAACGGGAUAUAUUUUUUCAUUAUUUAUUUAUUGGGGACAAAUUAUAGCUAGUUUUCCAUUUUUGUAGGUGCUUUGAGUUCAAAGUUAUGGUAUCAUACAUAAAAUACUAAGAUUAAUCAACAAUGCGUUGCUAAAAUUAGACCCAUGUUCUAUUUUGAAACUGGGAGAACAUCUUACUUAGAUUCUGAGAACUAUUACCUUAAUGAGUACUCUUCAAGUUCUAAGGUUCCCUGAAUCUAUUUUAAUUCCAUUUCAACAAUGGAGAGGUUUUUCCAGGAAGUUACAUAAAUCUACAAAAUGAAAUGUGGAAGUCCAUGAACUACUUCUGAUACUUCAAUCCUUCCUACUGCUUUUGCUCCCAAAGUAAGAAUCUCGGCAUGUAGCUUUGUUGUAUCAUCAUUAUCAAUUUUAAAAGAAUUUUCUGUUUUAAUUAAGCUUCUUAACCUAAUAUGUAAUUUUACAAUUAUUAUUUCAUAUAAAAUCUUAACUUGUCACAGUUAGGAACCUGCAACAGGCUGAGCCUUUGGAACAAAAUUUGAAAAUAGGUAAGGAUAGCUCGAAGCAACCCCAAACUUACAAUGUCUACACAACAGCAGUGAUGAGAUAUUGUGGGCAGAGUUGGACCAGGGAUUAUUACACUUCUCAUGUGGUGGGAUUUGUAUUAUUUUAUUUCAUAUUUCAUAACAUAUGAGAUCCAUGAAAUUAACUCCCUUAAGUAAGGUGCUUUUGUGUUGCUUGUUCUGACAGUGCUGUGCACUAAUUAGAAUAUUAACAGAAAAGUGCUAAAUGUAAUGUUCCUUAUACCAAGGAACAGGUUAGUUUUUAUAUGUUUAAUAAAACCCAUACUCUGGGUGUUUUACUCAGGAACCUAAAAUUCGGUUGAGUAUAAAAAAUCGCAAUUACUCAGGAAGCCUCAGAAGCUAUAUUUCAUGAGCUGUUGA